rnacentral:rRNA from 1 species
GAGUAACGCGUGAGGAACCUGCCUCAAAGAGGGGGACAACAGCUGGAAACGACUGCUAAUACCGCAUAAGCCCACGACCCGGCAUCGGGUAGAGGGAAAAGGAGCAAUCCGCUUUGAGAUGGCCUCGCGUCCGAUUAGCUAGUUGGUGAGGUAACGGCCCACCAAGGCAACGAUCGGUAGCCGGACUGAGAGGUUGAACGGCCACAUUGGGACUGAGACACGGCCCAGACUCCUACGGGAGGCAGCAGUGGGGAAUAUUGCACAAUGGGGGAAACCCUGAUGCAGCGACGCCGCGUGGAGGAAGAAGGUCUUCGGAUUGUAAACUCCUGUUGUUGAGGAAGAUAAUGACGGUACUCAACAAGGAAGUGACGGCUAACUACGUGCCAGCAGCCGCGGUAAAACGUAGGUCACAAGCGUUGUCCGGAAUUACUGGGUGUAAAGGGAGCGCAGGCGGGAAGACAAGUUGGAAGUGAAAUCCAUGGGCUCAACCCAUGAACUGCUUUCAAAACUGUUUUUCUUGAGUAGUGCAGAGGUAGGCGGAAUUCCCGGUGUAGCGGUGGAAUGCGUAGAUAUCGGGAGGAACACCAGUGGCGAAGGCGGCCUACUGGGCACCAACUGACGCUGAGGCUCGAAAGUGUGGGUAGCAAACAGGAUUAGAUACCCUGGUAGUCCACACCGUAAACGAUGAUUACUAGGUGUUGGAGGAUUGACCCCUUCAGUGCCGCAGUUAACACAAUAAGUAAUCCACCUGGGGAGUACGACCGCA